AUACGUAGGGACCGAGCGUUAUCCGGAAUUACUGGGCGUAAAGGGCACGCAGGCGGAUAUACAAGUCAGCUGUUAAAUACACGGGCUUAACCGGUGUAUGCGGUUGAAACUGUAUAUCUAGAGUACUGGAGAGGAAAGCGGAAUUCCCGGUGUAGCGGUGAAAUGCGUAGAUAUCGGGAAGAACACCAGUGGCGAAGGCGGCUUACUGGCCAGUAACUGACGCUGAGGUGCGAAAGCCAGGGGAGCGAACCGGAUUAGAUACCCGGGUAGUCCUGGCCGUAAACGAUGAAUGCUAGGUGUGGGUGGGUGAACCAUCCGUGCCGGAGUUAACGCGAUAAGCAUUCCGCCUGGGGAUUACGACCGCAAGGUUGAA
rnacentral:rRNA from 1 species